AGGGACUUAAGUUAACUAAAAAAACUAAUAGCCUUCAAAGCUUUAAUUGGUAUAAUCCAGCCCCUA
rnacentral:tRNA from 1 species